UAGCAUAAAAAAUAUACUAUUUACGAAUAUUUCCUUUUAUUUUUACUCGGUUCCUUCAUCAUAUUCAAUAUAUUUUCUAUUAAUUUUUUAAUUAAUUUGAAUAUAUUUUAUUCGUUUCUUUUAUUCAAUUUUAUUCGCUUUUAAUCAUUUCUUUUAUUCACUUUUAUUCAUUUCUUUCUUACACUCACUCACCUUACUUCGGCUCCCUCUUCAUCUACCGGAGCGUUCGUUUUUUUUUUUUAAAUUUUAAUAUUUUCUUUUCUUUUCGUGCGGCCUCUCUUUUUUCUUUCGUCGGCUUCCUUGUUUACAACUCCUAUUCAAAUUUUAUACGGCCCGCUCAAACUCACGCUCACUGUCACUAACAUUCCUCACAUAUGCUCGGCUUUCUUUUGUGCGUUGUUGUGAAGAUGUCUCUGUGAAAAUUUCCUUCCUUCUUAACUAAAUAUUCAUUUUAUUACAUUUUUUUUUUUCAUUUCCCCUAUUUUGCUUGCCUUGUUUGUUCGCUUCCAUCCACCCACCCACCUGACCGACCGACCCAUCCCAUCCCAUCCACCUAUCCAUCCAUCCUAUGUGUCCUUGUCUGCUUCUGUGUCUUCGGUUCCCUUGUUUCUUGUUUUUUCAUGUCGUUUGUGUCUCCUAUUUUUACACUGCUACUCGUUUUUACCUACCACCUUGUUACUAGCCAGGCCAUCCGUCAGUCAACACUCACCUGCCUCUACCAUCGUUCCAGAUGUUCCGAACCAACCCUUCCGAGCAGGCUGGACGAAGUUCCGUUUACUGCACCGCAGCGACGCACUGUAAAGGGAGGACAGUGAAGAGGACGCAAGUGUAAAGGUUAGUCAAGGUAUAGGAUUAGCGAGGAGAGGAUAGUAGAGAGAAGAGAGAAGAGAGGAGAGAGGAGAGAGGAGAGAGAGGAGAGCAGACAGGAACAGACAGGGAGAUGGAUAAAGAGGUAAACAAAAGGAGAAAGGAGUUAGAAUGAGUGUUGGAAAUGAGUGUUAGAAAGUGAAUUUUAAAGAGUGAAUCUUAGUUUAGAAGAUGUUAGAUGGAUGUGUAAAUGUUAAUUGCUUAGAAAAUAAAUGAAUAAAUGAACCAAUUUCUCAACUUCACUAAAUGAAAUACAUAAAACAAUCAUUC